rnacentral:misc_RNA from 1 species
GUAGGUGAACCUGCGGAAGGAUCAUUACAGAGUUCAUGCCCUCACGGGUAGAUCUCCCACCCUUGAAUAUUAUACCUUCGUUGCUUUGGUAGGCCGUGGAAACACCACGGGCCCCGGCUUGUGCGUGCCUGCCAGAGGAAACCUAAACUCUGUUUUUAGUGAUGUCUGAGUACUAUAUAAUAGUUAAAACUUUCAACAACGGAUCUCUUGGUUCUGGCAUCGAUGAAGAACGCAGCAUCUGACUGACUCA